AGGACGAACGCUGGCGGCGUGCUUAACACAUGCAAGUCGAGCGGAAAGGCCCUUCGGGGUACUCGAGCGGCGAACGGGUGAGUAACACGUGAGCAACCUGCCCCUGGCUCUGGGAUAGCCUCCGGAAACGGGGAUUAAUACCGGACAUGACCCUUGACCGCAUGGUUGGGGGUGGAAAGUUUUUCGGCCAGGGUGGGGCUCGCGGCCUAUCAGCUUGUUGGGGGGGUGACGGGCCCACCAAGGCGACGACGGGUAGCC
rnacentral:rRNA from 1 species